rnacentral:rRNA from 1 species
CUACGGGUCGCUGCAGUGGGGAAUAUUGGACAAUGGGGGAAACCCUGAUCCAGCAAUGCCGCGUGUGUGAAGAAGGCCUGCGGGUUGUAAAGCACUUUCGGUUGGGAGGACUGCUUCUAGCACUAAUAUUGUUGGAAGUUGACGUUACCUUCAGAAGAAGCACCGGCUAACUCCGUGCCAGCAGCCGCGGUAAUACGGAGGGUGCUAGCGUUAAUCGGAAUUACUGGGCGUAAAGCGCGCGUAGGCGGCUAGAUCAGUCGGGUGUGAAAGCCCCGGGCUUAACCUGGGAACUGCAUCCGUACUGUCUAGCUUGAGUACAGGAGAGGAGAGUGGAAUUCCACAUGUAGCGGUGAAAUGCGUAGAUAUGUGGAGGAACACCAAUGGCGAAGGCAGCUCUCUGGCCUGAUACUGACGCUGAGGUGCGAAAGCGUGGGGAGCAAACAGGAUUAGAUACCCCGGUAGUC